rnacentral:rRNA from 1 species
GGCGGCGUGCCUAACACAUGCAAGUCGAGCGGAGUCGGUAAGAGGAAGUUUCGGAUGGAAUCUUAUUGAUUUAGCGGCGGACGGGUGAGUAACGCGUGAGCGACCAACCUUGCACAGGGGGAUAACGGACCGAAAGGUUCACUAAUACCGCAUGAGACCACGGUGUUGCAUGACACAGAGGUCAAAGGAGCAAUCCGGUGCAAGACGGGCUCGCGUCCGAUUAGGUAGUUGGAGGGUAACGGCCCACCAAGCCUAUGAUCGGUAGCCGACCUGAGAGGGUGAUCGGCCACAUUGGAACUGAGAUACGGUCCAAACUCCUACGGGAGGCAGCAGUGGGGAAUAUUGGGCAAAUGGGGGAAACCCUGACCCAGCAACGCCGCGUGAAGGAAGAAGGUUUUCGGAUUGUAAACUUCUGUCCUUGGUGAAGAGAAGAAGACGGUAGCCAAGGAGGAAGCCCCGGCUAACUACGUGCCAGCAGCCGC